rnacentral:rRNA from 1 species
UACGGAGGAGGCAAGCGUUAUCCGGAAUUAUUGGGCGUAAAGCGUCCGCAGGUGGCACUUCAAGUCUGUCGUCAAAGACUGGGGCUUAACCCUGGAAAGGCGGUGGAAACUGAAGCGCUAGAGUGCGGUAGGGGUAGAGGGAAUUCCCGGUGUAGCGGUGAAAUGCGUAGAUAUCGCUUGGAACGCCAAUGGUGAAAACAGGUUGCUGGGGGUGUGCUGACGCUGAGACACGAAAGCCAGGGGAGCGAACGGG